rnacentral:rRNA from 1 species
UACGUAGGGUGCAAGCGUUGUCCGGAAUUAUUGGGCGUAAAGAGCUCGUAGGCGGUCUGUUGCGUCGGCUGUGAAAACCCGGGGCUCAACCCCGGGCCUGCAGCCGAUACGGGCAGACUAGAGUUCGGCAGGGGAGACUGGAAUUCCUGGUGUAGCGGUGAAAUGCGCAGAUAUCAGGAGGAACACCGGUGGCGAAGGCGGGUCUCUGGGCUGAUACUGACGCUGAGGUGCGAAAGCGUGGGGAGCAAACAGG